GUCCAUUGGGGACAUCCGAUAAAAUUGCAAUGAUACAGAAAAAAUUAGCAUAACCCAUGCGCCAAGAUGAUACGCACGAAUCAAGAAAUAUGACCAAAUUUU